UGUCGUUUGAAAUUUGCAGCGCUAUGGAUUGCGAGCACGAGUGCUCACCCUGCAAGAUAUUUGAGUGUGGCUAUGUAAAAUGAGCAGUCUAGCAGGACUGAAAGUGCAGAGGCUGAAUCUCAAAAUGCAAUCACAACAGUGGAUUUCAUUAUCAUUUGGGCUGAGGAUACUGGUCUUGGGGACAGACCUACAGAUGUCUGCAGAACCUGCUUAGUCUCACAAAUGGAUUGGAUGGACUUUUUGGUUUCAUGUACACUUAAAGAGUUUGUUCGUCCAGAAAU